GCCACCCAGGCGCCCCGAAAGAGAACAAUUCUUAAGGAUAUGGUUGGAAAACCCGGAUCAAACUGUGUCUGAAGAUCUUGGUAAAGCCAACAAGAACUUUCCCUGACCUGAGAACCGGGUUUCACUGUGCUGCCUUCAUUAUUACACAGCGUUUUACCCACAAUUGCUUCCUGUUCAAGUUCCUGUUUGUUGCUGGGCGCCGAGAACCCACCUUGGAAAGGCCACGUGAGGACAUGACCAGGAAGAGAACUCUGUCCAAGAACCUCAUCAUGCUGGCAUCCUCUUUGUGGAUUUCUGGCCUCUAGAGCCAUGAGAAAUAAAUGUUGGUUAAGCCAUUCCGUCGAUGAUGGUGCACAAAUAUGACCAGGAUUUGUGAAGAUGGGUCCUCAUCCGCCCCGUCUUACAGUUGAGGAAAGUGAGUCUCUUUGGGGAGGGGAUGGACAGAAGGUAGAGAGUUCAAUUCUAAAUGGUUGGGCAAGCAAAGCCAAGAAUUGCCUCUCUCUCUCUAUCGAUAUAUAAAAUAAGAUUGCUCCUCCCCUACCUCUGCAGUACGUGUGUGCGUAUGUGUGUGUAAGUGUGUGGAGCCACAGGCCUUUCCGAAUGAGUGACAGCGGGAGCCCAUCCCUCCCAGAGACGCGUGCAGAAUGACCAAUGGAAUGGAUGCGGGGUGGUUGGGUACUAGUCUCUGCAGAGGCCGGGUGGAAUCUAUCGCGCCCAUCCUUGCCACCCCCCCACCCCCUAGUCCCCGUCGGUCCUUCGGCUCCGGGCUCCCCCGGGGGUCACACCCCAGGUGCUCACCCCCGUAAUGUAACCCCGGGCCCCAGGAGCGGGCAGGGGGCGAGGCUCAGGUCUGACGAUCGCAGGCUGCAGUCCCCGCGCCGCAGCGCUGCGGCUCUGAACACUUCGCUAGCAGGCCGGCAGCCUCGGGGCGCCAAUAUGUAAAGCAGCUGGCGGCGCUGGGCGGGGCCUGGGUGCGAUGCAAAUGAAGGAGGCGGGCCCUGCCCGGGGCUCCGCCUCCCUCCCCCGCAGCUGGGGCCAGCGGUGCCAAGCGCAGCUGGACGAGCGGCGGCAGCUGGGCGAGUGACAGCCCCAGCUCCGCGCGCCGCGGCGGCCA